GCCCUUANAAGUUUGAUCCUGGCUCAGNAACGAACGCUGGCGGCACGCCUAACACAUNGCAAGUCGNGCGCUACCUUCGGGNGGNGCGGCGGACGGGUUAGUAACGCGUGGGAACAUACCCUUUUCUAUGGAAUAGCCUCGGGAAACUGAGAGUAAUACCAUAUACGCCCUUCGGGGGAAAGAUUUAUCGGAUUUGGAUCGGCCCGCGUUAGAUUAGAUAGUUGGUGGGGUAAUGGCCUACCAAGUCUACGAUCUAUAGCUGGUUUUAGAGGAUGAUCAGCAACACUGGGACUGAGACACGGCCCAGACUCCUACGGGAGGCAGCAGUGGGGAAUCUUGGACAAUGGGCGCAAGCCUGAUCCAGCCAUGCCGCGUGUGUGAUGAAGGCCUUAGGGUCGUAAAGCACUUUCGCCAGAGAUGAUAAUGACAGUAUCUGGUAAAGAAACCCCGGCUAACUCCGUGCCAGCAGCCGCGGUAAUAAGGGCG
rnacentral:rRNA from 1 species